rnacentral:piRNA from 1 species
UUCUUUUCCGUGGUACCUAAC